rnacentral:rRNA from 1 species
UACAGAGACUGCAAGCGUUAUUCGGAUUCACUGGGCGUAAAGGGUGCGCAGGCGGUUGGGUGUGUCAGAUGUGAAAUCCCGAGGCUUAACCUCGGAACUGCGUCUGAAACUACUCGACUAGAGUACUGGAGAGGGAAACGGAAUUCACGGUGUAGCAGUGAAAUGCGUAGAUAUCGUGAGGAACACCAGAGGCGAAGGCGGUCUCCUGGACAGUUACUGACGCUCAGGCACGAAAGCAUGGGGAGCAAAAGGG